AUCCAGCCGAUGAGUCCGAAAUAGGACGACAAGCGCGUCAAUCUGGAU
rnacentral:hammerhead_ribozyme from 1 species